GACGUAGGGCGCGAGCGUUGUCCGGAUUUAUUGGGCGUAAAGAGCUCGUAGGCGGCUCGUUGCGUCGGCUGUGAAAACCCGCAGCUCAACUGUGGGCUUGCAGCUGAUACGGGCGGGCUGGAGUUCGGUAGGGGAGACUGGAAUUCCUGGUGUAGCGGUGAAAUGCGCAGAUAUCAGGAGGAACACCAGCGGCGAAGGCGGCGCUCUGGGCCGGUACUGACACUGAGGAGCGAAAGCGUGGGGAUCAAACAGG
rnacentral:rRNA from 1 species